UGUCUCCUCUGAUCCUCCUUGGGAUUGGAUUUAGCCCGCACCUUACUCCUGCGGGCUUUUUUUA
rnacentral:ncRNA from 1 species